GGAGGAGUACCGAAGUGGUCGUAACGGGGUCGACUCGAAAUCGACUUGUCUCAGCAAACACUGGGGCACGUGGGUUCGAAUCCCACCUCCUCCGCCA
rnacentral:tRNA from 1 species